CCUACGUGGGGCAGCAGUGAGGAAUAUUGGUCAAUGGGCGCGAGCCUGAACCAGCCAAGUCGCGUGAGGGAAGACGGUCCUAUGGAUUGUAAACCUCUUUUGUCGGGGAGCAAAAGACGCCACGCGUGGCGUUCCGAGAGUACCCGAAGAAAAAGCAUCGGCUAACUCCGUGCCAGCAGCCGCGGUAAUACGGGGGAUGCGAGCGUUAUCCGGAUUUAUUGGGUUUAAAGGGUGCGCAGGCGGAAGAUCAAGUCAGCGGUAAAAUUGAGAGGCUCAACCCCUUCGAGCCGUUGAAACUGGUUUUCUUGAGUGAGUGAGAAGGAUGCGGAAUGCGUGGUGUAGCGGUGAAAUGCAUAGAUAUCACGCAGAACUCCGAUUGCGAAGGCAGCAUACCGGCGCUCAACUGACGCUCAUGCACGAAAGUGUGGGUAUCGAACAGGAUUAGAUACCCCAGUAGUC
rnacentral:rRNA from 1 species